rnacentral:lncRNA from 1 species
UGUCGUCAUUCCAGCCCCAGGCUGAAACACAUUAUCGCCUUUCUCAAGUGGCCGAUCAAGGGACACUGGGCGGGGGCGGUCGGGUCACGCGCCUAAGCCCAGUGUCCCUUGAUCGGCCACUUGAGAAAGGCGAUAAUGUGUUUCAGCCUGGGGCUGGAAUGACGGCAUUCUGUUUUUUCCCGGGCUCUGAGCGCCUAUGGACGACGUGGGAAGUGUCACGUUAGAGCAGAGAUCCUUAGUAAAUGAUAGAGAUGGAAAAGAAGUUCAAGAAAUGGUCAGACAGGCCACUUCCUGUAAAGGAAUCUCUCAGGUUUUGACCUGCCAUUUGAGUUCUGUUAUACUCACAGACACCAUUCAAAC